UACGUAGGGCGCAAGCGUUAUCCGGAAUUAUUGGGCGUAAAGAGCUCGUAGGCGGUUUGUCGCGCCUUGCCGUGAAAGUCCGGGGCUCAACUCCGGAUCUGCGGUGGGUACGGGGCAGGACUAGAGUGAUGUAGGGGAGACUGGAAUUCCUGGGUGUAGCGGUGUAAAUGCGCAGGAUAAUCAGGAGGAACACCGGUGGCGAAAGGG
rnacentral:rRNA from 1 species